rnacentral:rRNA from 1 species
UACGUAGGGGGCAAGCGUUGUCCGGAUUUAUUGGGCGUAAAGAGCGUGUAGGCGGCCUUACAGGUCAGCUGUGAAAACUCGAGGCUCAACCUCGAGACGUCGGUUGAAACCGUAAGGCUAGAGUCCGGAAGAGGAGAGUGGAAUUCCCGGUGUAGCGGUGAAAUGCGCAGAUAUCGGGAGGAACACCUAUGGCGAAGGCAGCUCGCUGGGACGUUACUGACGCUGAGACGCGAAAGCGUGGGGAGCGAACAGG